GCUGUUCUGUAAUGACCCUAAACCUUGCCCAAGGGUCAGGUUGUUUUCUUUAAAAAGAGAGAAAGAGAGAGAAGAGAGAGAGAGAGAGAGAGGAGAGAGAGGAGAGAGAGAGAGAGGGGGAGAAAGCUCACCAGAAGUCCUCGCCGGAGCCACCACACGCCAGACCGUUGAGUUCGCCACCACCAUCAUCCGCAACCAAAGGUAACCAGAAACCGCCAUAUUUUUGAGUUUAGUUUCGGCCGUUUUAGUAAAUCGACCAUAACUUCUUAACCGUUGCGAAUCUCGUGCAUCCAAGCCCAUCAUCGUGUUCCUCUCGUCGAGACGAAGCCGUAGACACCAAGCACGCCUCAAACGGAGCCCGGACGAAGCCGUACGCGCCUCCAGAAAACCGCCCUUCGCGCGCGCGUGAAACGCACGCGCCGCCGCCGGAAAUCGUCGCCACCGCAGCUCCGCCGCCGGACCACCGUCCGCCGCCGCAGCUCCGCCGUCGCCGCCGGCCAAUUUUCCGAUAUGGAGUCUAUUUGAGCAGCUGGAGUUCAUAGACAACACUUUUCUAUUGCUAAGGUGAGACAAACAAGUAUGUGAUAUUUGGACGGACUUGGUGCUAUUGGACUUUUCUUUCGGAUUUUAUUGGGCAUGGGUGAGAGUUGUCGGGUUUAUGGGCUUUUAUAUUACAGGAUAUUGUUGGUGGCCCGUCGUCCUUAGUGUCAGGGAGACGGGUAUCACAUUGUUGUAUGAUGACGCGUCGGGGGUGACACGCUGUCCUCCAUAUAGAGGUGACGGGUGUCACAAUUUGGUAUCAGAGCGGGUUCCAUCCCGGUUCCGUCCGGGAUGGCGGUCAGGGGAUUCGGUUUUCAUCGGUUUUCAACUUAAAAAAAAAAAACUAUAUAUUUAUUUAUACAUUUCGAAAUUCUUUUUGCACCAUUCUGUCCAGUAAUUACUAACUCAAAUGUCUCUUUCUAUGACGAUGAGUAAAAUCAUCGUCAUUCGUCCUUCGACUAUCAAGGUUCUCGACAGAUGUUCAGCAGUUGCGUGAAGUCCAAGUUCGUCAGUUUUCUCGGGAGUUAUCAGUUUCUUCGGACAUGAUUUCGAGGCUAUCCAGGAGUGGAUAUAUGACGUUUCUGCCACCAGCCCACUUCAAGCAAUCGUUCCACGAGUUUUGUUACUAGAGAUUUUGUGGUGUGUGAUAUGAGCCAUUGGUUGGCAUGUGUUGUUGUGUGUACGAGUAUAUUGACUAUUUUGGAGAUAUAUUUGUUUUGUGAACUCGUGGAGAUCGCUUUUGAAUUGGGGUGCAGCAGCUUGCGUUGUGUGGGUGUUGGAGUUACACUUUGGUAUGUUUACCAAUUUUGGCAGUGUUGAUCGUUUCAGAGAUGUGUCAGUUUGGACAACUGACAUAGGACAUUGGGAGCUGUUUAUAUCCAUCGCAGGGUACCAGUUAUGCUUGGAGGGCCGAUUUGUUCGGAUAUUCAUCAGAGAUGGAGCUACGUUUUUACGAUGUUAUCCUUGGGACGGAUUGAUUGUCACGGCAUCAAGUAGUGUUGGAUUGCCUGAUGGCAAGAGUUCCGAUUGCUGGAGCAGAUGGAAGUUGUUAGUGCAUGCAUGCUACAUACUGAGGAGUUAUGGGAUACAAGGACAUAGAGAUUUUUGACUACCAUCUCGAUGGUUAAGGCUGAUGGACAACAUGAGCUGCAGGAUCUUCCGGUUAUUGCAGAGUAUGAGGACAUAUUUGUGACCUUUGGAACGGUCAUCACAUGACACAUGAGAAACUCUUGCGUUUUGUUUGGAGCAAACAACACCAGUUUCACAAGUUUUAUACCGAUUAGCACCAACAGAGAUGACAAAGCUGAAAGAGCAUGUUGAAGAUUCAUCAGACAAGGGUUUUAUCAGACCGGAUACUUUACCGUGGGGAACAUCAUCAUUGUUGUUGUAAAGAAGAAAGGUGGGAGUUUCAAUUUUGUAUCGACUACAAAGGUCUGAACAAAGUGACCAUUAAAGAUAAGUAUCGCUUCCGCGCGUUGAUGAAUUAGUGGAUUAUUUAUAGGAAGUUUAUAGUUCUCGAAGGUUGACAUGGCAUCAGAACACCAUCAGAUUACUAUAUUUGAAGAGUAUCUACUGAAUGUGAAUUUUUGUAUACAUUAUGGAUAUUAUGGGACGCAGUGAUACCAUUUGGGUCGACAAAGGCACUGUUGCAUUCAUGAAGAUAUGAAUGACGUUUUCAUGAACAUUUGGAUAGGUGUGCGAUUGUAUUCCUCGAUGACAUCCUGAUUUAUUUUGGAGAAGAAAGGAGAUUUGUGAGCAUUUCGCGGAUUGCGUUGGAUAAGCCUGGAGAGCAUCAGUUGUUCGCUAAGUUGAGGAAGUGUAGCUUCUGGCAGAGGAAUGUUGUAUUUUUGGCUGACAUGGUUUUGGAAGCAGAAUUUUGAUGGAUCCAAAGAAGAUUAAUACCGUUUCGGGAAGGUCGAAACCUAAGAGCGCUACAAAGAUCUGCCGUUCUUUUUGGGUUAAUAGUAUACUACUGGAAGUUCAUCAAGGGUUUCACCGGUAUAGUAAUGUUAAAGACGCGGUCUACAUGUAAAGACGUAAAGUGUGGCUGGAUAGAUUUUGUUCGAGGAGUUUCACUGAAUUGAAGCACAACUAAUGAAGACACCAGUUUUGGGUUCUACUGAGGCUGAGGCUUACUGUGAUGUGUCAGAUACUGGAUUGGAUUUAAAUUAAGGUAUGAGGAUUAAGUCAUUCAUAUGCAUCAUGCCAGAGAGGCUGUAGUGGUAUUUGCGUUAUAGUUUUGGAGAUCGUAAUUGUACGGGAAGGAAGUUCAGAUUCUCUGGGAUUAUUAGAAUGUGAAAUUUAUCUUCAUUUAUUAAAAACUUGUACUUGGACAGUGCAGUUGGAUUGAGUUUGUAGCAGGCAGUUUUGCUAUGGAGGAUACACAAGCACAAGUUAGCAUUAUGGAUUGGUUGAACAGAUCGAGAUUGGGAGUAUUGGAUAUCAUACAGCUUUGAGCAGGAUAUACUUGUACUGAAACCGAGUUUGUGUGUUGGACGAUAAGUUGUUAAGAAAAGGAAUCUUACAACAAACAUAUCACUCGUGUUUCUCUACCCAUCGGGAAGACCAAAGGGUACAAAGAUAUGAAGAGUUAACUAUAAUGGUGUAGUAUGAAGAUGUUUGUAACUACAUUGCGUCGCGGUGCCAGACAUGUUAUAUGGCAAUAACAGAGGAUCAGUCAUCUAUCAUGUUAUUUUUGAGCUUGCUUUUGCUGGAGUAGAAAUGAGGCAUGGUGAUUAUGGACAUUGUUAUUGGAUUUUAAAUCACCAUAUGUGGAAAGGAUGCCACAUGGGUAGUCAUGGAUAGACUUACCAAGUCAGCCCAUUUCCUAAGUAAUUAAGAAGAUAAUCAGGGCUAAUCAAUUGGAGCAGACCUACAUUAUUGAGUUCAGGAAGUUUCAUGGAUGUCAACAUUGUAUCGGAUUGGGAAUCGAAGUUCACAUCUACAUUUCAGAAAGCCUUUCGGAAGGCACUUGGUACAAAGAUCAUAUGAGUACAUCUUAUCACCCGUUGACAUAUUGUCAGUUAGAGAGGACUAUUGAGAACUUAAAUGAUAUGUUCAGAGAUUGCGUGGGAUGGAAUUUCGGAAAGCAUCUACCUUUACCAGAGUUUGCCUACAUCGACAAUUAUCUUUCGAGUAAAAAAAAAAAAAAAAAAAAAAAAAAAAAAAAAAAUUAAUAUACAAGGGUUAUUUAUGGUAGACCUUAUAGUAUACCACUUUGUUGGACCAAAGUGGGGGAGCGACAUGAGUUAAAAGUAUUAAUGGUUCAAAAGACGGCUGAGCAAAUGGAAAUGCUCAAUGAUGGGCUUUCGGAAUCCCAUGACGUCAGAGAAUUUAUGCAGCUAAGCACCGUAAGGAUUUGGAGCUACAUAUGAGCACCUAAUAUACCUGAAAAUAAGGACAUUUCAGGAGGGACCUAAGACUCAGAAGAUAAAGGAGCUUAAACCGAGACACAUGGAAUUGUAUCCUUCGCUGGAGUGGAUUGGAUUAAUUGCUUGCAGUUACUUUAUCAGCAGUAUAUCAGCCUUCUAGUACUUGGUUCAUAUGACAGCAUUGCAAAAGUUGAGAAGGCGCUAUAACUAUUUUGCAGUAGACAUCAAGUGAGUUCAUAAAGAUUUUAUGAACCUUAUUAUCUAUUGGAGAUUUUGGAUCAUCAUGAGAAGACAGUUCGGGGAAUAUCGACUUUGUUUGUCCGAGUUCAUUGGGAGGGAGAUAAGACCCAGGAGGAGACCUGAAAGGUCGAGCGAAGAUUAGUAUUCGAGGUUUUGCUAUGAUGACAUUGGGCACGUCAGCUUAUGACAUGAAUUCGGGGACGAAUUCCUUGUAAGUGGGGGAGAAUUGUAAUGACCCUAAACCUUGCCCAAGGGUCAGGUUGUUUUCUUUAAAAAGAGAGAAAGAGAGAGAAGAGAGAGAGAGAGAGAGAGGGAGAGAGAGAGAGAGAGAGAGAGGGGGAGAAAGCUCACCAGAAGUCCUCGCCGGAGCCACCACACGCCCAGACCGUUGAGUUCGCCACCACCAUCAUCCGCAACCAAAGAUAUGGAGUCUAUUUGAGCAGCUGGAGUUCAUAGACAACACUUUUCUAUUGCUAAGGUGAGGGUCUAUUCCCGAACUCCUCUUAUUCGGCUUAGGACCUCGAAUAAGUAUAAUUUAUUUCUAAUGUGUUCCGUCUGUGUGAAAUCGAGUCUAUCAUUGCUUGUUUAGUUUUAGGUUCUUUGCAUAAACCGGAACUAGGGGGUUAGAGGAUUCAACAUUGAUUGUUUCACUUAAUGUAAAUUCUUAGCUAGGAUUGUUUUUGUUUGGAGACGGAUACAGAGUCGGACUGCUGUAUGCCGGAUUGUAUGGAGGUCACGGCCAACUUUAGUCGACCGGUUGAGCCGUAGACUGGAAGUGUCGAUAAAUCGUCUACGGGCGUGUGUUACCGAGCACUUUUUCGGUGUGUGUAUGAACCGAGCACCUUUUCGGUAGUGUUUUGGCCUGUUAGUGGGCGGCGAGUGUGCACCUCGCUAGGACCAUUGUUUGUUGUUUGGGUACUUUAGGUACUGUGUUUGACAUGCAUUAUAAUUAAAUUAUAUUUAUUCGGAGUGCUAUGUCCGGGUCCAUGGACUUCGGGGUGGCAUCCCAUACCUCACUGAGCGAUUCCCCUGUCGCUCACCCCUCACUCUUCCCCUUUUCAGGUGAGACAAACAAGUAUGUGAUAUUUGGACGGACUUGGUGCUAUUGGACUUUUCUUUCGGAUUUUAUUUGGGCAUGGGUGAGAGUUGUCGGUUUUAUGGGCUUUUAUAUUACAGGAUAUUGUUGGUGGCCCGUCGUCCUUAGUGUCAGGAGACGGGUAUCACAUUGUUGUAUGAUGACGCGUCGGGGUGACACGCUGUCCUCCAUAUAGGAGGUGACGGGUGUCACAUGUUCUCUCUCCACUGCCCUGUGCUUAUUACGUCUUUGCUUCUUCCUCCCCUUGUAGCUGAAACGUUCACCUCCAGGGAACCUGUAACGUUAUCAAACUCUUGCAAUUUCAUUAUAUCUCCAUCAUACUCUCC